rnacentral:rRNA from 1 species
AGCAUUAUACCGUGAAACUGCGAAUGGCUCAUUAAAUCAGUUAUCGUUUAUUUGAUAGUACCUUACUACUUGGAUAACCGUGGUAAUUCUAGAGCUAAUACAUGCUGAAAACCCCAACUUCGGGAGGGGUGUAUUUAUUAGAUAAAAAACCAACGCCCUUCGGGGCUUCUUGGUGAUUCAUGAUAACUUAACGGAUCGCAUGGCCUUGCGCCGGCGACGGUUCAUUCAAAUUUCUGCCCUAUCAACUUUCGAUGGUAAGGUAUUGGCUUACCAUGGUUUCAACGGGUAACGGGGAAUUAGGGUUCGAUUCCGGAGAGGGAGCCUGAGAAACGGCUACCACAUCCAAGGAAGGCAGCAGGCGCGCAAAUUACCCAAUCCCGACACGGGGAGGUAGUGACAAUAAAUACUGAUACAGGGCUCUUUUGGGUCUUGUAAUUGGAAUGAGUACAAUUUAAACCUCUUAACGAGGAACAAUUGGAGGGCAAGUCUGGUGGCCAGCAGCCGCGGUAAUUCCAGCUCCAAUAGCGUAUAUUAAAGUUGUUGCAGUUAAAAAGCUCGUAGUUGAAACUUGGGUCUGGCUGGCAGGUCCGCCUCACCGCGUGUACUUGUCCGGCCGGGCCUUCCUUCUGGAGAACCUCAUGCCCUUCACUGGGCGUGUUGGGGACCAGGACUUUUACUUUGAAAAAAUUAGAGUGUUCAAAGCAGGCCUUUGCUCGAAUACGUUAGCAUGGAAUAAUAAAAUAGGACGUGCGGUCCUAUUUUGUUGGUUUCUAGGACCGCCGUAAUGAUUAAUAGGGACAGUCGGGGGCAUCAGUAUUCAAUUGUCAGAGGUGAAAUUCUUGGAUUUAUUGAAGACUAACUACUGCGAAAGCAUUUGCCAAGGAUGUUUUCAUUAAUCAGUGAACGAAAGUUAGGGGAUCGAAGACGAUCAGAUACCGUCGUAGUCUUAACCGUAAACUAUGCCGACUAGGGAUCGGGCGAUGUUCUUUUUCUGACUCGCUCGGCACCUUACGAGAAAUCAAAG